UCCACGCCAAUCGCGAAGUCUUAGUAGCUUUAUCAAGUCGAUUGCACUACGCCAGGCAAAAGGGUGCACACUGCACCCUGCUUUUCAAUUAAAUCACUGCUUCAAUACACUUUCACAUGACAAUUCACAACUGUACAGUAACCCAAUGAGAGCGCAGUACCGUGUCAUUCAACCUCUUUCAGAAUCCAGAGGCUGAUGACAUGAGAGACACAAGACAACUUCCAAUUCAGUUCCUUUUGAGAGAGGCGGUGGACAAAACCACCAGGAACAUGAAGAUCAAGGCCGCGACGAAGGAAGCCACCACCGCGCCACUGACUUGCUGGCAGAAGUCGUUGAAUUGCCGGCAAAUGGCGAGCCAGUUCGCGUUCACGUUCCCGUUGUGAGCCAGGUAAACGAUGGCCGCCGCCGACGAGGCAGCAGCCGUCGUGAGUGCCACGAAUAUCUGCGACGAUUUGGUAGAUUAAUUGUGUUAGGAAGCGAACACAUGGCUGUUGUUUCAUUUUUCUAGUAGGAUCAGUGGAUGAUGAUUAUGAGCAAUGGUUAUCUCAUGAGAUAGAUUAGAUUACGGUGUCAAAGAUGAGGAGGAGGAGCCUUGGACCGACGGCCUGGGGCCGGACGAUGCACACGAUCGAGAAGGGCAAGGAGAGGACGAGCAUGUGCAUAAUUAACAUGGCCCGGAAAUCAAACUUGCAUACUCGAAUGCCACGAGAUCAUCGUAGCUGGCCUGGAACUGGAAGAAUUGUGUGAAGAACGGGAGCGUUUGAUCAGUGGUUCCCAUGGUGGUGGCAGCGGCUAAAGCGGCGCCAGUGGCCAAUAGCCUAAGAAGGAAGUCGAACACCGCGACGCCUUUCUUCCAUCCUCCUCUUCCCGCUCUAGCGGCGGCGGCCACCGGAGGAGGCACCGCACCAGCAACCGCUUUGCCCUUGGCUCUGGCCCUCGAUUUGGACUUGGAUAACAGCAUCGUGUCACCGUUCUUUGACGAGUCCAUGGAACUUGCAGGUGCCUAAAGACUAGUGUCUUUUUCUCUUCUCAAUGUGGUUGAUAAGCUUUUGCUGUAGCAAGGCUAUGAGAUACCAUGUUGAAGCAGACUAAAUAUAUAUAGUGGAACUUGGAUUAGAGCCAGAAUUUAGUAAAUGAAUGGAGUGGUUUGACUUUUGUU